rnacentral:rRNA from 1 species
UGGGGAAUAUUGCACAAUGGAGGGAACUCUGAUGCAGCGACGCCGCGUGAGUGAAGAAGUAUUUCGGUAUGUAUAUCUCUAUCAGUAGGGAAGAUAAUGACGGUACCUACAUAAGAAGCCCCGGCUAAAUACGUGCUAGCAGCCGCGGUAAUACGCAUGGGGCAAGCGUUAUCCGGAUUUACUGGGUGUAGAGGGAGCGUAGGCGGAAGUACAAGUCGGGAGCGAAAACUCGGGGCUCAACCCCGAGACUGCUCUCGAAACUGUACAGCUAGAGUGCAGGAAGGGCAGGCGGAAUUCCUGGUGUAGCGGUGAAAUGCGUAGAUAUCAGGAGGAACACCGGUGGCGAAGGCGGCCUGCUGGACUGUAACUGACGCUGAGGCUCGAAAGCGUGAGGAGCGAACAGG